rnacentral:rRNA from 1 species
GAUGAACGCUAGCGGCAGGCUUAAUACAUGCAAGUCGAGGGGCAGCGCGGGUAGCAAUACCUGGCGGCGACCGGCAAACGGGUGCGGAACACGUACGCAACCUUCCCAAAACUGGUGAAUAGCCCUCCGAAAGGAGGAUUAAUACACCGUACCAUAAUGAAGAGGCAUCUCUUUGUUAUUAUAGCCGCAAGGCGGUUUUGGAUGGGCGUGCGCCUGAUUAGGUAGUUGGCGGGGUAACGGCCCACCAAGCCUGCGAUCAGUAACUGGUGUGAGAGCACGACCAGUCACACGGGCACUGAGACACGGGCCCGACUCCUACGGGAGGCAGCAGUGAGGAAUAUUGCGCAAUGGGGGCAACCCUGACGCAGCAACGCCGCGUGAGUGAGGAAGGUUUUCGGACCGUAAAGCUCUGUCGAGUGGGAAGAAAUGUAUCGUGGCUAAUAUCCAUGAUACUUGACGGUACCGCUAAAGGAAGCACCGGCUAACUCCGUGCCAGCAGCCG